rnacentral:rRNA from 1 species
CACGGCCCCACCUACGCCAUCGUCUUCCUGCCCCGAUCCCAGCCCACUAGCCGCUCCCAGCCAAUCGCCCCACCCCGCGCCUCCUCGCUGCUGUGCCGCCGGCGAUGUGCGGCGCUCCCGGCCACGCGCCACUAGCCUCCUCCCGGCCACGCGCCCCGGCGAGUCCUCCCUACUCCACUCCCCGUGAGUCGCGCCGCCCCCGACCACGUUGGGACUGGGACACGUCUCCUCCCAGCUCCGUCCCAUUGACCAGCGCAGCUCCUCCUCCAUGUGGCCUGCUGGUCGAGGGUCUGAUAAUGGACAUAACACAGCUACUGGAGAGGAGAUUAAAAUAUGGAAGAUAGCAACAGCGGGGGAAGCUGAGGCUGGUAGAUCCAUUGAGCAAGAGUGCCAGACCCAGGUGUGUUUAUAAUUGAGCUGUUUGUAAGACCAAUGCUGCAUGGAUGGUUGCACUCAGAGUCUCUGUAGUUAUUUAGCUGAAGGUGUGCAUGAGUUUGAGCUAUAUAUUAUUUUUGUAGUUUUAAUUUUAGAACCACGAAAGUUGUCCCUUUUUUAUAAAUAACUUCAUGUGGAGAAAUAUUGUUUUUGAGGGAAACAAGGUCAAGAAUUCGCAUUAGUGGUUGGCAGUGGUAAUAUAAUAAGUUCGCAUUUUAUACCAGCUAGCAAGACUUCACAGAACCACUGCCUCAAACUUCAGAGAAGAUGAGCAUGAAUGAUUGUUUUGGUUGCAACUCCAACAACACGUGCAUCAUAUUUCUGUGAAUCCGGUAGCUUAUGCAGCCCAUAAUUAGUUUCCCGGCAGAUUGAUGAUUGGGAGAAGUACAUAGAAUGCCCCUGUAUAGGUGCGUACAGAAUGACGAUUGGGAGUUUUCUGAAGGUUAGUAUUCCAGCAUAUUAGUAUCUUCAUUUUCCAACAGACUAAAAGGAUAUAAGUUUUGGUUGUGUGCCCAUUUGUGUGUGCACGUGGGUAAAAGAUCCUUGGAGAUUUUCGUUUUUUUAGAUCUCUCAUGCACCUUGAGCUAGCAAUCCAACCUACAAUGUUACUUUUCGUAUGAACAAAGCUCAAAAAAAUAUUUUGAAUAUUGUCCUGUCAUUCUUGUGAAUCUGCACCUCAAAGUUAUAAUUUUCGCAGCAAACAAUGCAAAGAAACAAGAGUAACAAGUACGGAGUAAUAGAUCAUGUAAAUGUAUGGUGGUGAUUGAUCAGUCAUGGUCCAAGAAUGACAGGGAAAUUAAAACUAAGCACCACAUGCCCGCAUAAUAGCAGAACCAGAGCAAGAGAAGAAUGUUGACUAGCAGGUCGACAACGACGCCUGCUAAGGGAGCAUCCACACACGCAUCCUUUUGCCACUGCCGAAGCCCCCUAUCCUCGAGCUUGACAGGCUUGUGUGCCAUCCUGGACGACGUCAUCGCCAUGGCCCCCAAGCCUCGCAACCACGUCGCCAGCUGCCGCCAAAGCUGAGCACGUUGGAAGACCAGGAUGAGGACAGCCCAUACCGCACCCAAGGUAGUACUUUCAGUCAUGCUUACAAACAAGUUUUUUCUACGAAAACAAAAACUUUUGUUUCUGGGCAGCAUGUUCCUCCCGGGCAUCAAGACUGUGCAACUUUGAACCAAAGGGUGAGGUAGCUAGCUCCCUUACUGUUGUUUUAUUUGAUUUUCCUAAGGCAUUACAUACAUAAUUGUAACCCGGCCUAAGCUUCCUAGAAAUACAUACGUCUCGCUAGGAAGUUUGGAUAUGUUCUAACUCUUCUCGGUUAGGAUUAGCUAGAUAUAUUCUAACUGUUCUCAGUUUGGAUAUGCUCUAACUCUUCACAACGAGGAGUAUAUAUUGAUCUUAGAAAUUUGUCAGUGAUGUAAUGUUUUGUGUACAAGCUGAUUCGUCUUUUUGAUGACAUCAGGUUUUUAGUAGAUGAAGGAGAAAGUCCGCGCCAAGAAGACCAUUCUGAUGGAUUCAAGAGAAUCAAGAGUGAAGCAUCGAGAUACGAUAAAUAUGUCAGAUGACAAAUAUGCCUACCGAGACAUUGAGUGGUUUCAGAUAUCUUUGGUUGAUUUGGAUUUGCUCACAUAGAAAAAGGAUGGCCACAUAAAUAUGGUAGUUACUUCCAUGUCACAAAGGUGUUCUUCAGUAGGUACUGCACAAUCGCGUUGAAGUUUCACAACAAUCACAUUCUCAGUGUUGUUGUCAUAUCAUAUAUCUCUACAGUGUUUGAUCACAAUUUAGACAAUUGAUCUAAUGUUGCUCAUCUUUCACUAUAAUGUCUUCUUUUUCCAGAUUUACAUUUCCAUUCUGCAGGAGGACCUAUGCUUUAGCAUGUUGAUCUCUUUUUAAUUUUCAUGUUGCUAUAUACUUUUGUCCUAGCUUAAGGACCUUGGCGAUUCAAGAGUUGUAGGACAUGAUACAUACUGUCAGUGUUAGUAGGAACUGUGGGCGUUAGCCCCCUGUCG